GACGAACGCUGGCGGCGUGCCUAAUACAUGCAAGUAGAACGCACAGUUUAUACCGUAGCUUGCUACACCAUAGACUGUGAGUUGCGAACGGGUGAGUAACGCGUAGGUAACCUGCCUGGUAGCGGGGGAUAACUAUUGGAAACGAUAGCUAAUACCGCAUAAUAUUAAUUAUUGCAUGGUAAUUAAUUGAAAGGUGCAAUUGCACCACUACCAGAUGGACCUGCGUUGUAUUAGCUAGUAGGUGAGGUAACGGCUCACCUAGGCGACGAUACAUAGCCGACCUGAGAGGGUGAUCCGCCAAACUGGGACUGAGACACGGCCCAGACUCCUACGGGAGGCAGCAGUAGGGAAUCUUCGGCAAUAGACGGAAGUCUGACCGAGCAACGCCGCGUGAGUGAAGAAGGGUUUCGGAUCGUAAAGCUCUGUUGUAAGAGAAGAACAGGUGUGAGAGUGGAAAGUUCACACUGUGACGGUACCUUACCAGAAAGGGACGGCUAACUACGUG
rnacentral:rRNA from 1 species